GACGAACGCUGGCGGCAUGCUUUACACAUGCAAGUCGGACGAGUGGCGAACGGGUGAGUAACAUAUCGGAACGUAACGAGUAAUGGGGGAUAACUAAUCGAAAGAUUAGCUAAUACCGCAUAUUAUUCGAGCGGCCGAAAUCUGAUUAGCUGGUUGGUGGGGUAAAGGCCUAACAAGGCGACGCUCAGUAGCGGGUCUGAGAGGAUGAUCCGCCACACGGGGAUUGAGACACGGCCCAGACUCCUACGGGAGGCAGCAGUGGGGAAUUUUGGACAAUGGGCGCAAGCCUGAUCCAGCAACGCCGCGUGUCUGCAGAAGGCCGUCGGGUUGGAAAGGAAUUUUGUCAGGGAAGCGGUACCUGAAGAAUAAGCACCGGCUAACUACGUGCCAGCAGCCGCGGUAAUAC
rnacentral:rRNA from 1 species